rnacentral:rRNA from 1 species
GUGGGGAAUAUUGGACAAUGGGCGCAAGCCUGAUCCAGCAAUGCCGCGUGGAUGAAGAAGGUUUUCGGAUUGUAAAGUCCUUUCGGCGGGGACGAUGAUGACGGUACCCGCAGAAGAAGCCCCGGCUAACUUCGUGCCAGCAGCCGCGGUAAUACGAAGGGGGCUAGCGUUGCUCGGAAUGACUGGGCGUAAAGGGCGCGUAGGCGGAAUGCUUUGUCGGGCGUGAAAUUCCAGGGCUUAACCUUGGGGCUGCGUUCGAGACGGGUAUUCUAGAGUGGAGAAGAGGGUCGUGGAAUUCCCAGUGUAGAGGUGAAAUUCGUAGAUAUUGGGAAGAACACCGGUGGCGAAGGCGGCGACCUGGUCUUUUACUGACGCUGAGGCGCGAAAGCGUGGGGAGCAAACAGGAUUAGAUACCCGUGUAGUCC